GGAAGCGUGCCUGAAUUAAAGGAUCACUUUGAUAGAGUGAAAUAUGAAUGUUAAAAUCAUUCCACUUCCU
rnacentral:tRNA from 1 species